rnacentral:rRNA from 1 species
CCUACGGGUGGCAGCAGUAGGGAAUAUUGCGCAAUGGGGGAAACCCUGAAGCAGCAACGCCGCGUGGAGGAUGAAGGUUUUCGGAUUGUAAACUCCUUUUGUUAGAGAAGAAAAUGACGGUAUCUAACGAAUAAGCACCGGCUAACUCCGUGCCAGCAGCCGCGGUAAUACGGAGGGUGCAAGCGUUAUUCGGAAUCACUGGGCGUAAAGAGCGCGUAGGCGGGAUAGCAAGUCAGAUGUGAAAUCCUAGGGCUUAACCAUAGAACUGCAUUUGAAACUGUUAGUCUAGAGUAUGGGAGAGGUAGGUGGAAUUCUUGGUGUAGCGGUAAAAUCCGUAGAGAUCAAGAGGAAUACUCAUUGCGAAGGCGACCUGCUAGAACAUAACUGACGCUGAUGCGCGAAAGCGUGGGGAGCAAACAGGAUUAGAUACCCUUGUAGUC